rnacentral:rRNA from 1 species
UGCAUGAGUGGCGGACGGGUGAGUAACGCGUGGGCAACCUGGCCUGUACAGGGGGAUAACACUUAGAAGUAGGUGCUAAUACCGCAUAACGGGGGAAGCCGCAUGGCUUUUCCCUGAAAACUCCGGUGGUACAGGAUGGGCCCGCGUCUGAUUAGCCAGUUGGCAGGGUAACGGCCUACCAAAAGCGACGACCAGUAGCCGGCCUGAGAGGGCGGACGGCCACACUGGGACUGAGACACGGCCCAGACUCCUACGGGAGGCAGCAG